GGCGGCUGUUUACGGGUACGGGGAUUAGGGUUCGAUUCCGGAGAGGGAGCCUGAGAAACGGCUACCACAUCCAAGGAAGGCAGCAGGCGCGCAAAUUACCCAAUCCCAACACGGGGAAGUAAUGACAAUAAAUAACAAUAUGGGGCCUUUACGGGUCUCGUAAUUGGAAUGAGUACAAUUUAAAUCUCUUAACGAGGAACAAUUGGAGGGCAAGUCUGGUGCCAGCAGCCGCGGUAAUUCCAGCUCCAAUAGCGUAUAUUAAAGUUGUUGCAGUUAAAAAGCUCGUAGUUGAAUUUCGGGAUCUAUCCGUCGGUCGGGCCUCACGGUCCGCACUGGUGUGAUGAAUUCCUACCUUCUGAAUAACCGGUAUGCCAUUAAUUUGAUGUGCCGGGGAAGCAGAACCAUUACCUUGAAAAAAUUAGAGGGCCCGUGCCUGAAUUGUGUCUGAUGACAUUAUAAUGUAAGAAUAAAUGGUGAUAUUUUGUUGCUAUUUAGGAGCAUCCUAAGGAUACCGAAAUGAUUAAGAGGGAUAGAUGAUGCAAUUGUCAUACAAUUGACUCAUGUGUAAAUCUUGGACUAAUUGCUGACUAACUUCUGGCAAAGGAUUUGUCCAUUAUGCUUUAAUUAAUCAAAAACGAUAGAAGACGGAUCGGAUAACGAUCAGAUACCGUCCAUAACUUAUGCCGACUAUAUGAUCGACUAGAUGAUCGUACUAUGAUGAUUUCUUUACUGACUCUUACGGGCGACUUACGUGAAAUGGAGAUCGUUUUGGGUUCAAGGAAGGGCGCAUGAUGAGCUAAUCAUACGAUCUGAUACUCGAUCGCAUCAUCGAGAUAGUGACUGGGUGAUGGUCGAGUGCGAGAAGAUUAGCUACCUCGUUCGAUGCAUUCAUCUAUACCCUAUGAC
rnacentral:rRNA from 1 species